AUAAACUCCACAUCAAUGUCACACAUUUAAAAUAUUAACAUAUCAAAUCUUAUAUCUUAUCUUAUAUAUAUAUAUAAAGGAGGUUCCUAGCAAGGGUGACGUGGCAUCUCCCACGGCUUUCCUUUCAGAUUGUUUUGUUUUUAUAAAUUGCCUCUCGGGAGGUCCAUGACUACGUAGAAUCGCAAUCGCAGUCGCAAUGAACCGGGAUUUUGGGAGCAGUUUGUCGAUUCUAGCUUCAGGUUGAUUUGUAGCGACUGGAUUGACUGACGCCGCUGGAAUUAUUUGGCCAAGGAUUUUUAUCCCGAGGGUAUCUUGCACCGCAAAAAUGUUUCUGAGAAGAUGCUAUUCAUCGUUUUCUCAUCCAUUGCGCGUCUACGUCGCUUGAAGCGGACCUGCUGGUUUUUACACUGCUGAAAAGGUUGAAGUUAAAAUAGAAGAAAAUUGGAGGCUGGAUGCAGGGCUUUUAAGACAUUAUGACUAUGCUGGUCAUAUCCAAGCUUAGCAAAACUUCAUUCAAAUGUUAUGAUCUACUUGGAAACAAAUUGUCAUUCAUUGUGAAUCAUGAUAGCCGGACUGAUUCAGGAGUUUCCAAUCACACAAGCAUAGGCAGACUUCGGAAAGUGAAAGUCUUGAUGUUGUAACCUGUAAGUAGCAAGAUCAGACAAUUUUUGUAAUAAGCAGAAUGCUUAUAUUUUUCCCUGGACGGCCAAAAAAAUGUUGUAGCUUGUAAGCUGUGUUCUAAAGAUCGGAUUGUCUUUGUAGUUUGUAAUGAGCAUAAUGUUUAUAUAGCUCACAAGGCUGUGUUGUAUUGUUCA